rnacentral:lncRNA from 1 species
AACAUUGUUUUAAUUGUGACGUCUAUUUGUGUACUUGUUUCAAAACUAAAUUUACGAUUGCAUGUCAAUCCUUGAAAAAGGCAUGGAUUUCCUGCCGAAACGUCGGAUAAUAUAUCAAUAAAUAUGGUCAUAACAUCAUAGAC